AACGCUGGCGGCGUGCUUAACACAUGCAAGUAGAGCCGUAACAGGCGUACCACUACGCGCUGACGAGCGGCGAACGGGCGAGUAAUGGUUCGGAAUCUGCCCAGUAGUGGGGAAUAACCAUCCGAAAGGAUGGGUAAUGACCGCAUACGUCCUACGGGAGAAAGCGGGGGAUCGCAAGACCUCGCGGUAUUCGAUGAGCCGAAGCCUGAUUCGCUAGUUGGUAGGGUAUCGGCCUACCAAGCGCGACAAAGCGUAGCCGACCUGAGAGGGUGACCGGCCACACUGCGAUUUUUUCUCGGCCCAGGAUCCUACGGGAGGCAG
rnacentral:rRNA from 1 species